ACAGUCAGGAUAACGAAACAAGCCGCUUAUAUACGUGUAUAUAUAUAUAUAUAUUUAAAGACGUUCCAAGGCUAGAAAGAUAAUAAUGCAGACAAGUGGGACGAAACGAUUCAAGAUUAUAUCAAUUGGAAAAAACUGUAAAGAAAAAGCGUAAGGAUAAAAGCGAGCUAAGAGACGUGGAGUCUCGAUUCGUUGCUCGUACGUAGUCGAAAAGGAUCGGUUGUCACGAGAGCUAGUGAAGUGUAGUUUCCUAGGCGGAUCAAUCAAGAGGCAACGAUGAAAGCGUUAUGUAUGCCUCGUCAGCCACGUCGGUACGACGCACAUUUUUUUCGAGUCAUCCCGCGAUCGAGACUCUCUUUUUAUUCACUUGCGAUGGAUGGAUGAAUCGUCGAAGGCACACACUCGAGGAAAACGAGCACCGGUAAAUAAAAAAAAAAAAAAAAAAUUGGA
rnacentral:lncRNA from 1 species